UCCUUCAUAAAUAAAUAAAUAAAUAAAUAAAUAAAUAAAUAAAUAAAAGGAAGAAAGUUCCAGAACUAAGUCUGGGGGAUGGAGAAGGACAUGGAAGCUUUGAGGUUGUAACUGGUGCUUUUCAACAGAAUCAUAAAAUCCAGCUUAUGUGCUAGAGUCAAAUCUAGGUACUUAGAACUUCUGUCAUUUUCCAUCAUACUCCCCUCUUCCUUGUCCACACUGAGAAAUGCCCUCAGUCACCCCUCCUAGCUUUUCAGGUCCAUCUUCAAGGUACAGUGUAAAUAUUGUCUCAUUAUUACUCUUUCUUUGCAACCCAGAUAGAUAGGCUCUCGGAGACCAAGAUGCUCUGUAUUCCUAGAAAUGUAAAGACAGAUGAUAAAUUCAGAAGGGAUGUUUGAUGGUCUAAAAAUGAUCUUAUAUCAGACUUUCAGAUAUGCCUUGGCAGCAUCAGGACAGGAGGGAGACUUGCCUGGCAAUUUAAUAUAUUUACUGGGUAAAUAGUAAGCACUUGCAGUCUCUGUGACUUAAUCAGAAUGAAGUUCAUUACAAUAAGUAGCUGUGCCCUUUGGUCCUAUUCGUACUGAGCAGGCUUCCAAUUUCAUUCACAUCUCCAAAGGAAAUUGUAGGCUACAAGCUGGCCAAGGAGUGCCAGGGAGGACACUUAGCAAGGAUAUUCCCCAGAGCAGAUAAAGGGGACAGGAGGUGGUGGGCUGAUUAGAGCAGAGAGAACAAGAUGCCCUUCUUAUCAAUUCCAAUCUGUGAAAGUAAUUUUACUUUCUUAUUUUUAACUUGAGGUUUGCAUCAGUGUCUCUCUCUCCCUUUCUGGGUUUUGAAAACAUAUUAUCGGGUCAUCUAAACCUUUUAUGCAACAUUUCAGACUUGUAUGUGCAUGAGCUGGUGAAGAUUUAUUAUAUUUGACACCAUAACUAAAGAUUUUAAGGCAUUCUUUUAAGCACAACUUGACUGAAACCCCUGAGGCUAGAUCCCUAUCUCUUGCCAGAUAUUAACUUGGCUUCACUGGUGGGAGCUCAGGGUAAGGUUACAACUGUUUCUGGAGACAUUAUUUGUGCCUCCGAACGUUUAACUCCAUCAGUGUAUUACUUUCAUAUAUGAAGAAAUCUGAGAUUUUCAGAUCAGAAUUCUCCCCCACUCCAUCCACCCCCAUCUCUGUCCUCAAUUUAUUUCUAUUUCUUUUGGAGAAGUCAAGUGCCCCCCUCCUCGUUUCGAAUUAAAAUAGGCAAAGAGAAAAGCGUGAGAUUCGAUGAGUCCAUGAAUACAAGUACCAACCCCUAUCCUUUGGGAUCCUUUGGUAUUUGUUCAAGGUACAAGCAAUCUGGGCAUCUCUGGGUAGGAAUACGGAUAAAUGAUGUCAUUCAACAGAAUUAGGACCAGACGGGAAACCGUAGCCAAAUCCUGCAGGGGGUAGCACUGAAUCCUGGCAUUAGGUACGGAAGGCCCUGACUGCUCUGGGAGGGUGAACAAGUGUAACUGUGAAGGCAACACAGUCUCCGGGAUGAGGCUGAGAGGGGAAUACUUUUGAGCUGUGAAGUGGGGGAGGGUCGGGGAUGUAACUCCAAAUAUUGGGCCGUGACAGCCGCCAGGCCUGAGGGCCGUGACUCUCACAAUGGACUUGGUCACAAAGGGCCUAUGUCAUCUUGAGGCUGUAUAAUCGGUAAAUGCAAGCUGCACGUUGAGCACGUUUUCUCCUGGAUCUCAUCCUUGGCGACGGAUCCAGACCUCAGCCUCCAGGAUCUGUUUGAGAAAUAAACAAAUGGGAGACAAACAACCAAAACAGCAACACGGUAGAGCUGGCGCGGGCGACGAAGCUCCGCCUUUGGAAGACUCGGCCAAUCAGAAGCCUGUUGCUGGGGCCUGGUGUUUGGCCGCCUGACGUUCCCAUGGAGACGGAGGAACGUUACACACUAAACACUGGGCGACGUUGACGUCUAUGCAUUAUAUCCAUGGAGACGACUGAGUAAACGUCAUCCCCGCACUUCCCCGCCCUCCCGCCGCGCCAGGGGCGGAGGGAGCGACGCAGACGUUGCGGUCACGUGCUGCAGGCUCGGAACGAGGUCUGGUGGGCGGGGCCUGUUGCCAUGGCUGCAGCUGGGCGGCUGUUGUUGUUUGGCGCUGGAAUUAGAAAGUGCUGAGACUGCAGUGGAGCCAGAACCGAUUCUGGAACAGCGUCUCCCGCCCCCGGGCCAGAGAGGGUUCCCCAGCCCCUGGAAAGCCAGGACACCCCCAAGGCUGUCCCAGCACGCCUCAGCCCCGGGUCCUGAGCCAAGAUCUCUGUGCUGCCUGUGACUCCAGACUGAGGGCCAAACCUAGACCACUCCCUCCACGCUCAGUUGGCGGUAAUUGUCAGGGUGACCUCCCAGACCGCAGUCUCCUCCAGCCCACAGAACAACCACUGGCCGAACUGCCUGACCCAGGAGACAGGAGCAAAACCCAGCAUAGAAAACUUGCCCACUGCUUGCAGUCGACUCCAGAAUCAAGGGAAUCAGAAGUUUGGAUGUCGUUUGUCUUUCUUCUAAUUCUUCUGGCCAAUCAAGGUCCCAGCAAGCCGCUGACAGAGAGGGUGAGAGAAGGGAAAAAGGCAAGAUUUAUCUAGGCCUUUGAUGUACCAGGAGCGUCUAGAGUGUUCUCAUCUACGGUAUCUCAUUUUAUCCUGUCUACCUCCCUGUGAACUAGAGCUUUUUAUGCCCAUUUUGACACCUGAAGAAACCAAGGCUCCAGCAAUUAAGUAACUUGCCCGAGGAUGGAGUACAGAGCCAGGCUUCCAAUCCAGGGGUCAGUUUUCAGAGCUUUUGCCCUUCCUGCAUCCUGGGACGAAGUGGAAUACAACAGAAAACCUCUACUGGGAUCACAUGGCAAGUUUACUUCUCUCCGGGGAGACUCUAGCCCUUUUUCCCCAACCUACGAAAAAGAAAAGGCCGAGGGGAGACUGAAGAUCUUUUGUGAGAUCUGCUAGAACUUCAUGAAAAGGUGCUGACACCACAAAGCAAGAACUUGGAUCCCGUCCCUGCCUCCUGGGAUUAACCUAUAUUUCCUCAUUGGCCUGAGAUCCAAGAGACAAAGAGAGACAUGCCCCAGAGCACAGGCAGCAGAAAAGUUCGGGCGAGUUCUGGGAGACUCUGACCUGCCCCAGGCUAGGGAGGGCACUACCUGGAGAGUUCUGCCAGAUUCUUCUGAAGCUGUCACUUGGGCCUGGCCCCUCCUCCUUCCCCUCUCUCCUCCCCCACGUCUGACCCUGCAGAGAGGCACGUCCAGCACGAAUUCCUCCAAACCUCAGAUGCCUUUAGGAUUUUAAUGUGUCUAAAGAGUUCCCUUCCUUGACAAGCGGCAGCAUUAGUCAAGUUGAGUGGGUGGGAAGGGCAUUUCCCGUCAAUCCAGGGCCCCGGAGGAAGGGGAGACCCUCCUCCCUCCCAGCCUUGGCAAGCAGCUCCUGCAGAGAUCCACGUGGGUGGCAGUUGAGUCCAGAGGAGCCAAAGGGUUGCUUGCUGGGCAGGAAUGCCCACAGGCCGCACCUUCCUCAGCCCUCCUAGCACCUCAUCCUGUCUGGACCCGUGGAGGGGGUGGCGGUGCCAGGGAGUGGGUUCUCCUGUGUCUGACUCCAACAACCGGUUUAUUGUGAUGA